UUGUUUGCCUCCUGUCAGGUUAUUUGGUCAAUUCAUAGUUGUUUUCGAAAAUGUCUUUUUUGUCUUCAACGUAUCAAACCUUUCUUCAUCCUCUGCAAUGGUAUUUGUGGUUUUUACCAUUUUACCGCUCCUUUCGUCAUUUUUGAGGCUGUGAGUGUGGUUGAUGGACGUGGUGCAGAGGUCGAAUAGAUUGGUGUGGAAGCUUCCGUUCUCUGCAUAAUGUUCAUUGUCUUGUAGCUUGGUUCAAAUAGCUUAGGUUCUUCUUCAACCUCCUUUCUAGUUACCAUUGCAUUUUAGGUCAGGUUGAAGCUUUAAGGAUUGUUUCUUUUUCUACUUAUUUCCGGGCACCAUAAGGUUGAAGAAAAGGUGAAGCAGUGGUAUAACCCAUCUUUUGAAGAUGUUUACUGCUUUGGGAAUUUAUUCAGAAAGCUUUGAGAAGUCAUUCCUUGAAUGCACAUCUAAAUUUUAUGCUGCUGAAGGUGUGAAAUACAUGCAUCAAUCUGAUGCUCCAGAUUAUUUAAAGCAUGUGGAGGUGUUUUCUUUUUCAUAGUCCGUUGUAUUAUUUUAUUGGCUUUAGUUAUUUAUGUAAUUCUUUAAUAAAUGGAUUGUGUCAUUCAAGAGUUUAAUCUUCUAAAAGUUAUCUUUCUUUGUCAAUUCUUUCCUUGCCCAUAUAUGUACUUAUUGCAGGGAUGUUUGUGGGUGCUCCUUCUACAGAUAUGAUUGCAAGAAGAACAUAAAAGAUGUUUGAUUUUGCAGAUAAGAUUGCCCACAUUAGUCCAAGUCUUUCUUCAGCAGUUACCAAGUUUUAGUGGAUACCACCCUCAUCGGGAUGGUGCCAGUCUCGGGUAUAUUAUCAUACUUCCCAUUGAAAAUGUUUGGCACCCUUGGUUUUCCAAAGGAGAGGUAAUAUAGAAACAAUUUAUUUUCCGAGUGAUACUUUCCAGUGAUGGUAGUGAAGUAUUUUUGGCUGGUGCAUGAUUGGAUUGAUUUUAUAUCCCUCUUGUAAGUAUUGUUGUGUUAAUUUCCAUUUAAUAAAUAUUUGAAAGUAGUGCACGACUAGUUGUUUGUAAAUCAUACUUAAAAGACAUGAAUCUGAUUUUAAAGUUGCUUGGCAUUUGUUUCUGCAACUUUUAUUCUCAUAAUUUAAUAAAAGUGGUUGGCAGAUUGUUUUACUAUAAGAUUCUGAAGUUCCCCCCUCUUGGCCUGUUUAUAUUUCCUCUAUUCUUCCUUGGUUUUUACUGCAAUUACUCAAUUGGCUUUUCUUUCUGUAUGGUUUAGUCGUGACCGCUCAAAUUCCAAAAUGAUAACCUACAAAAGUAGAGCGUCUAACCCAAAUAGCUACAUCAAUUUAAUCAACAGAUUAUUUACAUCUAUUGACCAAAUUUCCAAAUUUGAUGAAACUUCAUCCUUAAUCGAGAUAUCAGAUUUAUGGGACUACAUUUCAAUAUCGACUUAAUGAGCUGACCAAAAGUGUUAUUUGGAAGACCAGAUUGGUGAUAAAUCAACCUUUUAGAAACCAAAUAGUGUUAUUUGUGACUUCCCUUAUAAUUUCAUAUGCUGACUACAACAAACUGCAGUUUGUCGGCCUUAAUUGAAAACAAGAUUUUCAGUGUUCAUGGGGGCCAUUUCCUGCAAUUUCUACAUUGUAUCAGGCUAUAAAUUUUACCGUCUCUGUUUAGAUUGUAUACUGGCUAUAUUUUAUGCAUUAUUUAUCAUUCAUAUACAGAUACGUACUAUUGAUCGGAAGCAAGAAGUACCUCAUGAUGGUGCCAUAUCCAGAAGAUAUUGUGGAUGGAUGGGGUCUCAGUCCUUGAGGUGCUAGUUCCUUAUUUGGUGGCAGUGUUCUUACUUCCUUUAACCACUCAAACAACAUUGACUAAAUAUGUCGUACUCAUCCGUUGGUGAUGGUACCAUUUUUCUGUUUUAAGUGCAAAAUGACUCAGUUAUUGAUUAAGCAUAUGACCACAUUUCUUCUUCUCUUUGUUGCUCAUGCCAUGUGCUGUCUCUCAGAUCAACUCUACCUUUAUGAUGUCAAGAAACUGUGCAACAGUUUUGGAGAUUCCAAUUGCAAGUAAUUGUAAAGAUAAGGUACCAUCUUCUAAGCAAAGGGUGUACCUCAGUUAUCAGAUUUUGGUCCAACAGUCUUAAAUGACCAUCUGAUAAUUCCAGAUGGUUUUCAGGAAUUUAAAUUCAAACAUACCUUUGAAUCAGUUCUGUGUUAGUCAGAACAUGGGAACUAUCUUUGUGAAACUUAAUUAUGGUAAAAAAAGUCACCAAGUUAUGUCCUUGAUUUUGAAGAUUGAAGAUGACCAACUAAAGAAAAAAGUUCAUCUGAUUGUAGAAAUAGCAGUGUUGUUAGUAAUAGCAAGGUUUUCUCUCUGUGUAUAAAA